rnacentral:rRNA from 1 species
AACGAACGCUGGCGGCAUGCCUAACACAUGCAAGUCGAACGAGACCUUCGGGUCUAGUGGCGCACGGGUGCGUAACGCGUGGGAACCUGCCCUUAGGUUCGGAAUAACUCCCCGAAAGGGGUGCUAAUACCGGAUAAUGUCUUCGGACCAAAGAUUUAUCGCCUUUGGAUGGGCCCGCGUUGGAUUAGCUAGUUGGUAGGGUAAAAGCCUACCAAGGCGACGAACCAUAGCUGGUCUGAGAGGAUGAUCAGCAACACUGGGACUGAGACACGGCCCAGACUCCUACGGGAGGAAGCAGUGGGGAAUAUUGGACAAUGGGCGAAAGCCUGAUCCAGCAAUGCCGCGUGAGUGAUGAAGGCCUUAGGGUUGUAAAGCUCUUUUACCCGGGAUGAUAAUGACAGUACCGGGAGAAUAAGCCCCGGCUAACUCCGUG